GUGGGGAAUAUUGGUCAAUGGGCGAAAGCCUGAACCAGCAAUGCCGCGUGAGUGAUGAAGGCCUUCGGGUUGUAAAGCUCUGUCAGUGGGAACGAAUAAGCCGAUUAAUACCCGGUGAUGACGGUACCCACAAAGGAAGCACCGGCUAACUCUGUGCCAGCAGCCGCGGUAAUACAGAGGGUGCAAGCGUUGUUCGGAAUUACUGGGCGUAAAGCGCGUGUAGGCGGUUUGAUAAGUCGGUCGUGAAAUCCCUUGGCUUAACCAAGGAACUGCGAUCGAAACUGUCAGACUUGAGUAUCGGAGGGGAUGGCGGAAUUCCUGGUGUAGAGGUGAAAUUCGUAGAUAUCAGGAGGAACACCUGUGGCGAAGGCGGCCAUCUGGAAGAUUACUGACGCUGAGACGCGAAAGCGUGGGGAGCAAACAGGAUUAGAAACCCCGGUAGUCC
rnacentral:rRNA from 1 species